AACGCACGAGACCUGCGGACCUGCGGAAGGAUCAUUAAUGAGAAGCUGCCCCUCGUGGGUAGACCUCCCACCCUCUGUGAACUUACCUUUGUUGCUUUGGCAGGCCCGUCCUCUGGACCGCCGGCUUCGGCUGGCCCGUGCCUGCCAGAGGAUUCCAAACCCUGUCUGUCAGUGUUGUCUGAGUCUAUAUGAAAUCGUCAAAACUUUUAACAAUGGAUCUCUAGAUCGGAAGAGCACACG
rnacentral:misc_RNA from 1 species